AGCCUUUCUGCUGCACUGCAUUUAGAACCGGGAUAAGAAUGCGGUAUACAGUUAAUUAAACGCGCAUAUAUGGGAUAAACGGUUUAGUACACACGGUGCUCGACCGCUACAUAAUACAGACCAUAAAGCGUUUUGAAAAAAAAUUAAAUAUAAGGCAAUCUUCUAGCUGGAAAGAACGGCUCAAAAAUCCCCACCUCGCUGUCGCCAUUUUGGAACAAACAAUUUUUCAGAUGGUGCUGCGCUCUGUGAACGCGGCUCAAGAUUACGUAUUUUCAUCGCAAAGUUUGAGCGCGACACGUUCAUUGUAUUCAAAUUGACCGUAGGAUAUAAUAACGCACAUGUACGCGAAUUAUUUCAAAUGAAAUCAAGAAUGACUCGAAGUUUGCUGAAGCGUAGCCAAGGUCUCAUGGGUCUCAGGAAUAUUGAUUAACUUGCGAUUAUUUACCACGCGAAAAUCAAAUUCAAUGGCAACUAGAUCUUUCGAUACUGUCAGGCUAUACGUC